CACGUCAGGAUGAACGCUGGCGGCGUGCCUAAUACAUGCAAGUCGAACGAGUUCUGAUUAUUGAAAGGUGCUUGCAUCUUGAUUUAAUUUUGAACGAGUGGCGGACGGGUGAGUAACACGUGGGUAACCUGCCCUUAAGUGGGGGAUAACAUUUGGAAACAGAUGCUAAUACCGCAUAAAUCCAAGAACCGCAUGGUUCUUGGCUGAAAGAUGGCGUAAGCUAUCGCUUUUGGAUGGACCCGCGGCGUAUUAGCUAGUUGGUGAGGUAACGGCUCACCAAGGCAAUGAUACGUAGCCGAACUGAGAGGUUGAUCGGCCACAUUGGGACUGAGACACGGCCCAAACUCCUACGGGAGGCAGCAGUAGGGAAUCUUCCACAAUGGACGCAAGUCUGAUGGAGCAACGCCGCGUGAGUGAAGAAGGCUUUCGGGUCGUAAAACUCUGUUGUUGGAGAAGAAUGGUCGGCAGAGUAACUGUUGUCGGCGUGACGGUAUCCAACCAGAAAGCCACGGCUAACUACGUGCCAGCAGCCGCGGUAAUACGUAGGUGGCAAGCGUUAUCCGGAUUUAUUGGGCGUAAAGCGAGCGCAGGCGGUUUUUUAAGUCUGAUGUGAAAGCCCUCGGCUUAACCGAGGAAGUGCAUCGGAAACUGGGAAACUUGAGUGCAGAAGAGGACAGUGGAACUCCAUGUGUAGCGGUGAAAUGCGUAGAUAUAUGGAAGAACACCAGUGGCGAAGGCGGCUGUCUGGUCUGUAACUGACGCUGAGGCUCGAAAGCAUGGGUAGCGAACAGGAUUAGAUACCCUGGUAGUCCAUGCCGUAAACGAUGAAUGCUAGGUGUUGGAGGGUUUCCGCCCUUCAGUGCCGCAGCUAACGCAUUAAGCAUUCCGCCUGGGGAGUACGACCGCAAGGUUGAAACUCAAAGGAAUUGACGGGGGCCCGCACAAGCGGUGGAGCAUGUGGUUUAAUUCGAAGCAACGCGAAGAACCUUACCAGGUCUUGACAUCUUUUGAUCACCUGAGAGAUCAGGUUUCCCCUUCGGGGGCAAAAUGACAGGUGGUGCAUGGUUGUCGUCAGCUCGUGUCGUGAGAUGUUGGGUUAAGUCCCGCAACGAGCGCAACCCUUAUGACUAGUUGCCAGCAUUUAGUUGGGCACUCUAGUAAGACUGCCGGUGACAAACCGGAGGAAGGUGGGGAUGACGUCAAAUCAUCAUGCCCCUUAUGACCUGGGCUACACACGUGCUACAAUGGAUGGUACAACGAGUUGCGAGACCGCGAGGUCAAGCUAAUCUCUUAAAGCCAUUCUCAGUUCGGACUGUAGGCUGCAACUCGCCUACACGAAGUCGGAAUCGCUAGUAAUCGCGGAUCAGCACGCCGCGGUGAAUACGUUCCCGGGCCUUGUACACACCGCCCGUCACACCAUGAGAGUUUGUAACACCCGAAGCCGGUGGCGUAACCCUUUUAGGGAGCGAGCCGUCUAAGGUGGGACAAAUGAUUAGGGUGAAGUCGCAAAGGGG
rnacentral:rRNA from 2 species